AGUGAACGCUAGCGGCGUGCUUAACACAUGCAAGUCGAACGAGAACGGAUUAUAGCUUGCUAUAAUUGUCAGCUAAGUGGCGCACGGGUGAGUAAUGUAUAGGUAAUAUGCCUCUUACUAAGGGAUAACAAAUGGAAACGUUUGCUAAUACCUUAUACUCCUUAUUAACAUAAAUUAAUAAGGGAAAGAUUUAUUGGUAAGAGAUUAGCCUGUAUUGUAUCAGUUAGUUGGUGGGGUAAUGGCUUACCAAGACUAUGACACAUAACUGGUUUGAGAGGAUGAUCAGCCACACUGGAACUGAGACACGGUCCAGACUCCUGCGGGAGGCAGCAGUGGGGAAUAUUGCACGAUGGACGAAAGUCUGAUGCAGCAACGCCGCGUGGAGGAUGACACAUUUCGGUGCGUAAACUCCUUUUAUAUGAGAAGAUAAUGACGGUAUUAUAUGAAUAAGCACCGGCUAACUCCGUGCCAGCCGCCGCGGUAA
rnacentral:rRNA from 1 species